rnacentral:ncRNA from 1 species
ACCUCAAGUAGAGGUGCUGCAAUUAAUAGUAAUCUGUGGAGCUGGCUGCAAAGAAGCAGAUGAAAGGAAUUGUGGCCGAAGGGGAUGGGAGCCGGACCAUCUUGCCUGGCAUUAUGCAGAAUAUGCAUAAUGCUGUCACCAAAAGGUGGAGAGCUACAGGGGUU